AAUGAAGUUUCCCAUCCAUGAACAAUGGCACCUGAGGUGGCUUCCCUGCACUUGAACUCCACUGCUACACUCACUGACUGGCAUCAAGCAAAUCCGCUCCCCCAGGGCUCAGGACAGGGGCCCCCAUUACUGGUCUCAUUAUAGCACAAUACCAAGUGGCAAGGAGUCGGUUCUGGUCCCCAUGCUCUCCAGUUCCUGCUGAUUCCAUGGAGCUCCUUGCGCAUUUCAUCGGUCAUCGUGUGCAGCAUCUCCUUGAUAUCGCUCUUGGAAGAUCAGACUCUGCAGGAAUGAAGUUUCCCAUCCAAGAACAAUGGCAUCUGAGGUGGCUUCCCUGCACUUGAACCCCACUGCUACACUCACUGACUGGCAUCAAGCAAAUCCGCUCCCCCAGGGCUCAGGACAGGGGCCCCCAUUACUGGUCUCAUUAUAGCACAAUACCAAGUGGCAAGUAAGUUAAUUAAGCAAUAUCAAUAUCAUUAAACAGUAUCUUUGUCUAGAA